AGUGAACGCUGGCGGUUGGCCUAACUCAUGCAAGUCGAACGGCAGCACAGUAAGAGCUUGCUCUUACGGGUGGCGAGUGGCGGACGGGUGAGGAAUACAUCGGAAUCUACUUUUUCGUGGGGGAUAACGUAGGGAAACUUACGCUAAUACCGCAUACGACCUACGGGUGAAAGCAGGGGAUCUUCGGACCUUGCGCGAUUGAAUGAGCCGAUGUCGGAUUAGCUAGUUGGCGGGGUAAAGGCCCACCAAGGCGACGAUCCGUAGCUGGUCUGAGAGGAUGAUCAGCCACACUGGAACUGAGACACGGUCCAGACUCCUACGGGAGGCAGCAGUGGGGAAUAUUGGACAAUGGGCGCAAGCCUGAUCCAGCCAUACCGCGUGGGUGAAGAAGGCCUUCGGGUUGUAAAGCCCUUUUGUUGGGAAAGAAAAGCAGCAGGUUAAUACCCCGCUGUUCUGACGGUACCCAAAGAAUAAGCACCGGCUAACUUCGUG
rnacentral:rRNA from 1 species